AAGACUCUAACACAUGAUAUCUGCUUAGUCCAAAUCAGGUCUGUCACCUCCGUGGCUGACGUCCUCAACUGAAUUUUGCUUCUGUUUUCAGUCAUCCAAACCCCGCUCCACCCCACCCCCACUGCCUGAUCCCAAGCACACACACGGAAAAAGAGACAGUCCUUAUUCUCAAUCGCCUGUAAAACGGGAGGCAGGAACGGUGGCUGAAGAGCUCAGUGGGAACCACACGCCCAGAUCUCUAACAGAACUGAGUUGGCAGAUGUGCCUGCAAAGCUGGAAGAGAGUUCUCGCAACAAGGUUCAGGAGGCUUCUUUGGGCUUGUCCUAGGACUUGCCUCUGUAAGACGUCCAGAUGGGGGGUUGUUCUUCAAGGCCAGACCUUCCAGGAGGAGAGCCAUGCGGUGCGGCCAAAGCUCCCCGGGGUUCAGCGGAGGAAAACCUCAUAGGGACCAUCUCGUGGAGAUGCUCCCCAAAUGCUCUCGUGAGAAGUUGGUUAUUCUGCAGGCGGGAGAACCGCCUGAAGGCUUUAAGGAGAGGAUUUGCAUACUGGUGCUGUAGUUGUCUUGGUUUUAGAGUUUUCACAGAAACAAUCAUUAUUGAAAAUGGCCCAGGGGCGCCUGGGUGGCUCAGUCGGUUAAGCGUCCGACUUCGGGUCAGGUCAUGAUCUCGCACUCCGUGAGUUCAAGCCCCGCGUCGGGCUCUGCGCUGACAGCUCAGAGCCUGGAGCCUGCUUCAGAUUCUGUGUCUCCCUCUCUCUCUGACCCUCCCCCGUUCAUGCUCUCUCUCUGUCUCAAAAAUAAAUAAACAUUAAAAAAAAAUUUAAAAAAAAUGGCCCAAUGUCAGAGGUUGGUGGUGUGUUUCCGUAGCCUCAGAAGAAAGACAAGGGCUUCAACUUUGUGGAAAAGGAGAGAGUCUACGUGUGAAAUAUUUCUGAAGUGAAAAUCAAAACAUGAGACUUUCCAACUUCCGGGUGCAAAGUGAGGUAGCAAAGUCUCCGCCUCUCUCUGGCUCCUGGGCACGAGCUUACACACACACACACACACCGGGAACAAAAAUUCAGGAAACCGGGCGUCUGGGCGGGCCUGUCGGUUAAGUGUCCGACUUAGCUCAGGUCAUGAUCUUGCGGUCUGUGAGUUCGAGCCCCACGUCAGUCUCUGUGCAGACAGCUCAGAGCCUGGACCUUGUUUCGGAUUCUGUGUGUGUGUCUCUCUCUCUCUGACCCUCCCCCAUUCAUGCUCUCUCUCUGUCUCAAAAAUAAAUAAAGGUUAAAAAAAAAUUUUAAAAGAAAAAUCUUUUUUCAGGUUACAAGGGGUUACAAGAGCAUCUUACUGAGGACCUGUUUCGGGUUUCUUUACAAUGUUUAUUUACUUGUGAGAGAGAGAGAGAGAGAGAGAGAGACAGAGACAGAGCGUGAGUGGGGGAGGAGCAGACAGAGAGGGAGACACAGAAUCCGAAGCAGGCUCCAGGCUCAGAGCUGUCAGCACAGAGCCCGACGCGGGGCUCGAACCCAUGAACCUGAGCCCAAGUCUGACGCUAAACAGACGGAGCCACCCAGGCAGCCCAAGGACCCUAAGUUUUAACACGUGUUUGGUUUCCUGGACCCUCGGUGUGACCUCUGAGUACUUGUGCUUGGAGGUCAGGUUGUGAAGUGGAUUGAUCCUUGUAAUUAAUUACACGUUGACAGAAGAUACCAUUCCAUUGCUUCACAAGUAACAAAGAAUUGGGAGCCCCUGGGUGGCUCAGUCCAUCCAGCGCCCGACUGCGGCCCAGGUCAUGAUCUCCCCAUUUGUGGGUUCGAGCCCAGCUUCGGGGCUCUGUGCUAACAGCUCAGAGCCUGGAGCCUGCUUCCCAUUCAGUGUCUCUCUCUCUCUCUCUCUCUUUCUCUGCCCCUCCCCCACUCAUGCACGUGCUCUCUCUCGGUCUCUGUCUCUCAAAAAUAAAUAAACAUUAAAAGUAACAAAGAAUUGGAGAAUUUUAAAAAUUCCCACAUUCCGCAAUUUGAAACCCAGAGAGAGGACCAUGAUUCGUAUCUUGCACUGGAAAUCUAAACGCUACCAUGAACACCCACACGCACGCGCUUACGCUGUGUCGUCAUCAUCCCAAUUAUUUCCCCUUCAAAAAAGGAAAAACUGUAGAAGCUAAGUUUAUAGUUAAGAAACUGAGUCACAGAAAAGUCAUGAAACUCACCCAAGGUCUUAGAGCUAGGAAGCAGGAGGCUGGCUUCAGAAGGCUCUGGCUAGUUAUGCACAUCAGCUGUGUUGGAGCAUUUAUUUUUUUUUUCUUCCUCUUAAAAUGUCAGGACUGUUGCUCGUGUAAUUCCAUUUUUAGAGCUUUUAUUUUUUUAUUAAAAAAAUUUUUUAAUGUUUAUUUAUUUUUGAGAGAAAGAGAAACAGUGCGAGCACGGAAGGGACAGAAAGAGAGGGAGACACAGGAUCCAAAGCAGGCCCCAGGCUCUGAGCUGUCAGCACAGAGCCCAACAAGGGGCUUGAACUCAUGAACCAUGAGAUCAUGACCUGAGCCACAGUCAGACGCUUAAUUGACUGAGCCAUCCAGGCACCCCUAGAGCACUUGUGUUUGUGGACCAAUAAUAUAAUUUUAUCUUGAAAAACUUUCUAUUGUGGGAAAGUCACCCUUCCAAAUUCUCAUUAUUGAAACAAUACUCCUGCUGUAAACAUUUCCUUAGAUCAACUUCUUCUGGCAGUUCUUCUGAAGUCAAACAAUGGAAGCGAUCACAAAGAAAAUAAGAGAACUGUUUUCUUUUAAAAAUAUAAUAAAAUUAUUCUCUCAUGAUAUGGGAACUAUACAGCCCAUUCUUUUUUUUUUUUUUUUUUUUUUACAUUUAUUUAUUUUUGAGAGACAGAGCACAAGUGGGGGAAGGAGCAGGGAGAGAGGGAGACACAGAAUCGGAAGCAGGCUCCAGACUCCGAGCUGUCAGCACAGAGCCUGAUGUGGGGCUCGAACUCACAAACCGUGAGAUCAUGACCUGACCCAAAGUCGGACGCUUAACUGACUGAGCCACCCAGGUGCCCCGGCAGCCCAUUCUUAAUAUUAACAUUCUAGUCUGUUGUUUAAAAACAAUGUUUACCCUAUAUUUCUGUGUGUGUGUGUGUGUGUGUGUGUGUGUGUGUGUGUGAAUAAAAUAAAGACUUCUCUAGAUUUUCACUGUGUUCAGAGAGAUUCACGGGGUUUCACUUACUAACGUGUCCACCCUAUAUAUUUCUUGGAUAUUCCUGGUAUCUAAGUUUUAGAACUACCUUGUAAAACUGUUAUCCCUUUGUCAUAUGUUUCUUCUUUUUUCAGUAGCUACUUUUUGAACUUCAUAUUUGGCUUUCCACUAUCUUUAACAAACACUAUUUCACAAUUAACCUUAACUCUUCUUCAACUGACUUCUUCCGUUUUGAAUUAUUCUAUUUCGAUUGACUGCUUGUUCAGCUGUUGAGUAACUAUUUUGUUUGUUUUGUAGGAAGGGCAUGUGUAUAAUUUCAUGCUUUGUGAAGGUCGUCUCUAAAAGUCAUCAAGUGUUCGGGGCACCUGGGUGGCUCAGUCGAUCAGGCAUCCUACUUCAGCUCCGGUCAUGAUCUCCCAGUUCGUGGGGCAAGCCUCGCAUGGCAUCGGGCCCUGUGCUGACAGCUCAGAGCCUGGAGCCUGCUUCAGAUUCUGUGUCUCCCUCCCUCUCUGCCCCUUCCCUGCUUGUGCUCUCUCUCUCUCUCAAAAAUAAA